rnacentral:lncRNA from 1 species
AGCCAUGCCAGCUGGGAGCCUAGGAGUGCCAGACAGAGAGGCCACCCACCCGCAGUUAGAGAGACUUCCUCCUUCGCCGGCUCCUCAGAGCCACCACACCACAGAUUGGGUCUUAUCACCAGCUCAGUCACCCACUUAACCUACUUCUGAGAAAUGAAGACUGGAGGCCAGAAAGGAUGAUUGAGUAGCACCCUCUCGGGCACCUGCACAAGCACAUCUUCAUUCCGCAGUUAAAUUUCCUGAGAGGUUGAACAAGUAGAUGUUCCAAACUGAGUGAUCCCAUUAUGGAAACUUCAAAGGAAUAAAAUGAACAUCAUGGUUCCUUAUGUAGGACAAUAUUCCAAAGUUCAAAAUAGUAUUCCAUCUGGAAGACUAGAUAGGAACAUGUCUUAAAAGGAUGACAGCACUAUGACCAAUGGCUUCUACUGCCUUCCAUCCUGUCUUCUAUAAUAUAAGCUUCUUCCUCCAG